rnacentral:rRNA from 1 species
UUCAACUUGAGAGUUUGAUCCUGGCUCAGAAUCAACGCUGGCGGCGUGCCUAAUACAUGCAAGUCGUACGCGAAAGCGGGCUUCGGCCCGUGAGUAGAGUGGCAAACGGGUGAGUAGCGCGUGGGUGACCUACCUUCGAGUGGGGGAUAACCUUCCGAAAGGAGGGCUAAUA